UACGUAGGCAGCAAGCGUUGUUCGGAGUUACUGGGCGUAAAGGGUGCGUAGGCGGUCCUAUAAGUAUGGUGUGAAAUCUCCCGGCUUAACUGGGAGGGUGCGCUAUAGACUGUGGGACUAGAGUGUGGGAGAGGAAAGUGGAAUUCCUGGUGUAGCGGUGAAAUGCGUAGAUAUCAGGAGGAACACCGGUGGUGUAGACGGCUUACUGGACCAUAACUGACGCUGAGACACGAAAGCGUGGGUAGCAAACAGG
rnacentral:rRNA from 1 species